rnacentral:rRNA from 1 species
UACGUAGGGUCCGAGCGUUGUUCGGAAUUACUGGGCGUAAAGGGCUCGUAGGCGGCCAACUAAGUCGGAUGUGAAAUCCCCAGGCUUAACCUGGGAACUGCAUCCGAUACUGGAUGGCUUGAAUUCGGGAGAGGGAUGCAGAAUUCCAGGUGUAGCGGUGAAAUGCGUAGAUAUCUGGAGGAAUACCGGUGGCGAAGGCGGCAUCCUGGACCGACAUUGACGCUGAGGAGCGAAAGCUAGGGGAGCAAACGGG